rnacentral:rRNA from 1 species
UACGGGGGGAGCAAGCGUUGUUCGGAUUUACUGGGCGUAAAGGGCGCGUAGGCGGCCUCUGCAAGUCGACUGUGAAAUCUCCGGGCUUAACCCGGAACGGUCAGCCGAUACUGCAGGGCUAGAGUGCAGAAGGGGCAACUGGAAUUCUCGGUGUAGCGGUGAAAUGCGUAGAUAUCGAGAGGAACACCAGUGGCGAAGGCGAGUCCCUGGACAACUCCUGACACUGAGGCACGAAAGCUAGGGGAGCAAACAGG